rnacentral:rRNA from 1 species
GAUGAACGCUGGCGGCGUGCCUAAUACAUGCAAGUCGAGCGAACAGACGAUGAGCUUGCUCCUCUGACGUUAGCGGCGGACGGGUGAGUAACACGUGGAUAACCUACUUAUAAGACUGGGAUAACUUCGGGAAACCGGAGCUAAUACCGGAUAAUAUAUUGAACCGCAUGGUUCAAUAGUGAAAGACGGUUUUGCUGUCACUUAUAGAUGGAUCCGCGCCGCAUUAGCUAGUUGGUAAGGUAACGGCUUACCAAGGCGACGAUGCGUAGCCGACCUGAGAGGGUGAUCGGCCACACUGGAACUGAGACACGGUCCAGACUCCUACGGGAGGCAGCAGUAGGGAAUCUUCCGCAAUGGGCGAAAGCCUGACGGAGCAACGCCGCGUGAGUGAUGAAGGUCUUCGGAUCGUAAAACUCUGUUAUUAGGGAAGAACAAAUGUGUAAGUAACUAUGCACGUCUUGACGGUACCUAAUCAGAAAGCCACGGCUAACUACGUG